CGAGACCCUGAGAUCAUGACCUCAGCCGAAAUCAAGUCAGACGCUUGACUGAGCAGCCCAGGCGCCGCUGCUCGCCGAUAUUAACUCACUGUGGGAGACUCCUGAUGGCUGCAUAUUCCUCAACACUCUCCCUGUGGCGAGGGAGGGGCUAUUGCUCCUUCCUCGGAGCCGGGGCAGGCCUCCGAUGGUCUGGACUGAGAGACUUUGGUAGAAACGAUGUCACCCUAGUUUCAUGGCUCUUUCUUACGAGGGCUGGCUGCUUCUACCCUGAUCCUGAAUCCUGAACCAGCCUGUAAGACGUGCAGUUGCCCUACUGAAGAGACCAUCCAGGGGGACCCUGAGGCCCAGGAAUGGGAGAGCGACCCAGCUGAGCUCAGCCCUACAGACACGUUUGCCUUCUGCCUGCCUCAUCUCUAAGUCCCAGUUCAAAGGCCACCUGUCAUCUGGAUCACUCUUUGAUCCCCUUUGAUCCCCACAGAGAAGGAGAGGCCAGACGGAAUCCCGUAUUCGCUGAGUGCCAAGCACGUUCUAGGGGCACCACGUGUCAUUUUUCCAGCUGAGGCAGGAACACAGAGAGCACAUCUUCGACAUGCAAACAUCAGGCUGGGAGGGGACACAAGAUGGUGCAGCUUACCCAGGGCACUCUGCCUGGUGAUCAUCCUCGGACAUGGAGGAGUACACAAGGCAACAGACUCGUACCAUGGCAUUCACUCAUGUUAUGUGCCCAGUUGUGAGAUGCAGCUGGCUCCUGACAAUUCAGGUACAGCAUCAACUGUGAGAAAAUACCUCCUGGGUGUGGGCUAUUGUCCUAUAGGGUGGAUUGAAUGCAGUGCAAGAUCAAUGAAGAAAGAACGCUGUCUCUCCACAGCUGGAACGCUGGACCAGAGAACCAGUGGUAAAAGCAGCAAUAGUACCUCUCACUCUUACACCUGAGGCCCAUCUGCAAAAUCCUUGUUAUCCAUCACCAUGAAUUUGGACUCUGCUCUGUCAGAAGUCUAGGGCCUAAGGGACAGGUGAUUCAUCACAGGAUAUAACAAUGUCUCCACUGAGACUGCCAUUUUGCUUUCCUCAUGCCAUUGAUCCAAUAGCCCCACCAUAUUCUAUGUCAGCCGGGGGGUUUAUCCUGUCAAGCGUGGGGAGUUAGUGCUGCUGCUGGCAAUGUGAGUGAGGAGGAAUGUGCUAGAAUCCGAGGUAAUGAUUUAGAGUACCUCGUUCCGAUGUCAGGUCUGGUGGGAAAAAUUCGUGCAAGACUUCAGCAAGUCCAUACAGACAAGACCAUAAGGGGCUCAGACCCUGUGGAAAUACGGAUUUGGGUCCUCCACUACAACCCCCCACACAAAUAAAGAACUCACCCAGCUAAGAUGCUCCCAUGCAAUGGGUGGAAGGAGAACCCAUUUUAAACAUCAGUCACAAUCUCUUGAUUAAUUGUAGAAACUAAGACCCUAGUAACUACCCCUCUUUUCAGCUUUGCUUUCUUAAGCAUGUAUUUGUAAAAGUGAAACGAUUUCCUUCUCCCUUUUUCACAGCAUGAAUAAAAGGAGUGCUGAAGGGGGUUAGCCAUUAAGUCCCUAGCGUAUAGGACAGUAAGGUGGGAUUAUGACCGACCUGGAAGAGGAAAGGGUAUUACCCAGAGAUGUGUACAGUGAUUGGUGGACUAUGGCCUCCCUUUUAAGGGAGUGGGUGAGUGUAAAUAAAGAUGGCUGAGAGUGCAAGUAGGUGCCCACGGAAGAGAAGGCACGUUGGAGAGGAGUCACAGCGCCGGCUCUCAGCGUAUCUUCUAGUAAGUCUUUGCAGGAACUCAAAGCAGAAAUUUGCAUUUCCCAGCUUCCUUCACAGACAGGGUUCUGAAAAUGAGUUAAGUCCUUCCAGUUAGAUAAACAUAUGAGAUCUGGAAGGUAGAAGUUAGAUGGAAGCUGUGUUCCUGGAUGUUUCAGAAAGCUGAG